UAAUCAAAUAAGCGGAGGAAAAGAAACCAACUGGGAUUACCUUAGUAACGGCGAGUGAAGCGGUAAAAGCUCAAAUUUGAAAUCUGGUACUUUCAGUGCCCGAGUUGUAAUUUGUAGAAUUUGUCUUUGAUUAGGUCCUUGUCUAUGUUCCUUGGAACAGGACGUCAUAGAGGGUGAGAAUCCCGUUUGGCGAGGAUACCUUUUCUCUGUAAGACUUUUUCGAAGAGUCGAGUUGUUUGGGAAUGCAGCUCAAAGUGGGUGGUAAAUUCCAUCUAAAGCUAAAUAUUGGCGAGAGACCGAUAGCGAACAAGUACAGUGAUGGAAAGAUGAAAAGAACUUUGAAAAGAGAGUGAAAAAGUACGUGAAAUUGUUGAAAGGGAAGGGCAUUUGAUCAGACAUGGUGUUUUUUGCAUGCACUCGCCUCUCGUGGGCUUGGGCCUCUCAAAAAUUUCACUGGGCCAACAUCAAUUCUGGCAGCAGGAUAAAUCAUUAAGAAUGUAGCUACUUCGGUAGUGUUAUAGCUUUUUGGAAUACUGUUAGCCGGGAUUGAGGACUGCGCUUCGGCAAGGAUGUUGGCAUAAUGGUUAAAUGCCGCCCGUCUUGAACC
rnacentral:rRNA from 1 species